GCGUAAGCGCGCGCAGGCGGUCCUUUAAGUCUGAUGUGAAAGCCCACGCCUCAACCGUGGAGGGUCAUUGGAAACUGGGGGACUUGAGUGCCUAAAAGGAAAGUGGAAUUCCUAGUGUAGCGGUGAAAUGCGUACAGAUUUGGAGGAACACCCGUGGCGAAGGCGACUUUCUGGUCUGUAAUUGACGCUGAGGCGCGAAAGCGUGGGGA
rnacentral:rRNA from 1 species